GACGAACGCUGGCGGCGUGCCUAAUACAUGCAAGUAGAACGCACAGUUUAUACCGUAGCUUGCUACACCAUAGACUGUGAGUUGCGAACGGGUGAGUAACGCGUAGGUAACCUGCCUGGUAGCGGGGGAUAACUAUUGGAAACGAUAGCUAAUACCGCAUAAUAUUAAUUAUUGCAUGAUAAUUAAUUGAAAGGUGCAAUUGCACCACUACCAGAUGGACCUGCGUUGUAUUAGCUAGUAGGUGAGGUAACGGCUCACCUAGGCGACGAUACAUAGCCGACCUGAGGGGGUGAUCGGCCACACUGGGACUGAGACACGGCCCAGACUCCUACGGGAGGCAGCAGUAGGGAAUCUUCGGCAAUGGACGAAAGUCUGACCGAGCAACGCCGCGUGAGUGAAGAAGGUUUUCGGAUCGUAAAGCUCUGUUGUAAGAGAAGAACGGGUGCGAGAGUGGAAAGUUCACACUGUGACGGUAUCUUACCAGAAAGGGACGGCUAACUACGUG
rnacentral:rRNA from 1 species